CUGAAAGUGAAAAUCCAGUUUUCUUUUUUAGAAGGCAGAAGCUGGUUGUGUGGCUUUUCCUUCGGUUUCUAAGUGGCUUCUGCAUUUCUUGAGCAGUGCUCUGGUGGAGGUGUUUAUGAACUGAGAGCUGGAAAGGGUGCUCAGAUGGAUGGAGAAGGGAAGAGCAUAAAGGCAUCAACUUCAGAGGGAGAUGACUGAGGGAGGAGCCUGGUGAGCCUGCUGUGGGUUGGUGGAGGAUCUAGGAGAGCAUCAAGCACUGCUGGAGAUGAGCACCCAGGGCAACCUGGUGGAUUCUCCCCACUUUGUGUGGUUAUGUUUCCUGCUUCUGACCACUGUAGCUCCCUGUCCAAAUGUUGCCAUGCACAGUGACAACACUGCUGAGGGGCUGCAGGACUCUCCCAACACAAAGGUGACAGUCUACCACUGUGAGAUCAAUGUAUGUGAUUUAUCCAGUUUUGAAACCUGUGACAUAAUUGGUGAAACACAAAAUACUAAAUUUUCAAAUGAAAUAAUUCAGCUGCAGACCAAUGAAACACACAUCAUUAUGUGCUUUUGGCAAAAAAAUACAUUUCUUCAUGAGGUUUAUGCCAUCUUCUGGGAGAAGGACAUGCAACUGGGAUACGCAUGUGGCAUUCCAAAUUCUGGAGCUUCCUUCAGAUUAGUGAGGAGUGACAUUGCUAAAAUUUGCUGUAAAGCAGAGACAGACACCUCAGUGCUCCACAGCCCUCUGGAGUGCUACCCUCAAGUGUUAGAUGAGGAAAUCAGAGCUUCAACAAGUGACAUCACUGAUGAGGGAAAUCCAGGGAAUCUUCAGUUUGCAGACAGUGAAGAGAUGAGCAGCAUUGGCAUGAUCAGCAUCCUAGUCCCAGUUCUUGUGGGCUGUGCAGCAGCAGGGACACUGUAGUGCUUUCUACAGCACCACAACAACCAAAGACCUAUUGUAGUAUUCCAUCAGAUUCUUAAUGGGCAAGGAAUGGUCCCAUAGCAGAAGAGACAGGGUGGCUGCCCUAGGGACUUCACACUGCAGAUUUCCAAGCCCAAAUACAGGCAAUUGGGUUACAAUUCUCACUGAAGCCAAAGUUUGGUGUGCUCAGAGAUAUUUUCCUUCAAUUCUGCAGUUGUUAAAAAAAAUCAAAGGGUCUCUUGAUGCAAAAAAAACCCCCUUGCACUUAUUCAAAAAACAUCUAGAAGUAAGAAAACCAGCAGCAAAA